UAGUCCACGCUGUAAACGAUGGACACUAGGUGUCGGGGGCCUUAUCCCCUCGGUGCCGUAGCUAACGCGUUAAGUGUCCCGCCUGGGGACUACGAUCGCAAGAUUAAAACUCAAAGAAAUUGACGGGGGCCCGCACAAGCGGUGGAGGAUGUGGUUUAAUUCGAUGCAACGCGAAGAACCUUACCUGGGUUUGACAUCCCGGGCUAUCCCUGGAAACAGGGAGUUCCCUUCGGGGACCCGGUGACAGGUGCUGCAUGGCUGUCGUCAGCUCGUGUCGUGAGAUGUUGGGUUAAGUCCCGCAACGAGCGCAACCCUUGUCACUAGUUGCCAGCAUUUAGUUGGGCACUCUAGUGAGACCGCUCGCCGAUAAGGCAGAGGAAGGUGGGGAUGACGUCAAGUCCGCAUGGCCCUUACAUCCAGGGGCUACACACGUCCUACAAUGGCCGGGCAUAGAGCGUUGCGAGUUCGCAAGGGACAAGCUAAUCG
rnacentral:rRNA from 1 species